ensembl:lncRNA
UCCAUCAUGCUCCAUCAUAAGUGACUAGAUACAGUUCCCAAUGCUAUACAGUAGAAUCUCAUUGCUUAUCCAUUCCAAAGGCAACAGUUUGCAUCCAUUAAUCCCAGAUUCCCAGUCCAUCCUACUCCCUCCCCAUCCACCUCCCCCUCGGCAACCACAAGUCUUUUCUCCAAGUCCAUGAUUUUCUUUUCUAAAGAGAAGGAGAGGGUAGGAGUUAGUCAAGAGAGUGAGGCCAGAUACAAGGCCUCUGAAAUACUUCAGGGAAGAAAGAGGGUGGCCGCCGGAAACAGAGUAGGCAGAGUUUUUACUACCCCUUCUUGGAACUGAGAGCAGCCCUGGAAACUUCUGUGAAGUGUAUACCCGGUCAGAAAGGCUCACCACUCUCCCCACUUUGCUGGAUAUCAACAGUUGGUAAGCCUGAGUCCUUGCUAUUAUCACUUAUAUACUUCCUUUGUGACUCAUGGUAUGUAAGCUAGAGUUCUAGUCCAGCUGUGGAGUCUGUCACUUUCCUCAGGGCUAGCCCACGUCUCCUUUCUGGGCCAGGAGAGCCUUUUUGACAAAAUUACCUUAAAACAAAACCAAGCAGAACAAAACAAAAAAAUCCAACUAGUCUUUUAGAGAAUCUAUUUGCUAAGGGUUAAGACUACAGGUGUGUGUGUGGAGGGGGAGAUUGUCUCAUGAAUAUAACCUCCCCACCGAAAUGACCUUCCCUAAACUUCUGCUGCUAUGACUCGAGGAGACCCAUUAGUGUUUAAUAAAACAUCCGCAUCAACACAGUUGAAGGGCAAGGUAGUUAAAGAAAUCUAAUAUCUUAAGAAAUGUGCCGACCCUGACAUUCUUAUGAGAAACUCAGGCAUUUUAGAAGCAAUUACUCUAACUUAAACAAUUUCAAUAAACUUCACAUUGAAAGGAAAUUACUCUUUGGAGGUACAAACGAAGAAAAAAGAAUCUUAUGUUUUUUCAUCUUGCAAAUAAAUAAAAGAACUCUUACUAAUGUUAACAGGGGAAAGGUUUGCAGGACUGAUGUUUGGUAUGUAGAACUGAUAUUUAAAAUAUUUAAGUGAUGCUUAAAAUAUGCUUUCAAUCCACAUAAAUGCAGUAACUUCUGGUUACUUAGAGAAGAGCUUCAGUGAAUAGCAGGAGGCCUCAUUUUAAUGCUGGCCAUUUAAAAAAUUAUUUGGGCUCACAAUAUUCUUUGCCAGAAGGCAAUGAAGUGUGAAACCAAUCCAAUGAAACCAGUUAGAUUGGGACACCACUACUUCCAUAUUUUUACCAAGCAUUCAACAUGCAGACACCAUCUGAAUCUAUGGUUCAAGAUCAUAAAUCCUCCUGUGAGGCUCAUCUGUUAGUACUUGGGGCUCAUUAAUCAUCCCAAAGGGACAACUGCAAAGAAAAACACAAUUGAAUACUGUCGAUCCAUAAAUGCUCACAAGUUCGCAUGGGGCCUAAUUUAAACAAAAAGAAACUCCUUUGUAUUGUCUUCCAAAUCUACCUCCAUGCUCAUGUAGGCCUUAAGAAUGCAAUUUCUAAGUGUUUCCACUUUUGUUCUCUUUUCUCACCUCUGACCAUUUUAUUAAACUACUACCUAUUGAGCGUCUAUUAUACAUCAUUCACCCUGGUAAGUACUUUAUAAACAGGAUCCUAUCUAAUUAAAAUGAUACCAUGAAGUAGGUUAUAUUAGUUUGAUAGGGCUGCAAUUACAAAAUAUUACAGACCAGAUGGCCUAAACCACAGAAAUUGUCUCAUCAUGUUCCUUUUGAACUUGUUCGCAUUGGCAUUGCCCAGCAUUAAUUGCCUUGCAGUUCUGGAGCCUUGACUUCUGAGGUCAAGGUUGGUUCCCACAGAGGGCUGUAAGGGAAGGCUCUCUCUUUGGUUUGUAGAUGGGCAUCUCCUCCCUGUGUCUUCACAACAUCCAUGACUGUGUCUAAAUUUCCUCUUCUUAUAAGGUCAUCAUU